rnacentral:misc_RNA from 1 species
GGAUAGUCCGCCGUCAGCUGCUGCUGCGGCGAUGGUCAACGUGGCGGUGGCAGUUAAGAGCGGCGAAGGGAGGGGUAGUCAGCGAGCCGUCCGGUGGGCUAUAGAGAAGUUGUUGCCUAAAGCUCAUCGCUUUUUCCUCAUUCAUGUCAUGCCUACCGUCAUCGCAGUUCCAACUCCCUCAGGAGAGAAUACUCCAGUUAACGAGCUUGAUGAUAAUGUGGUGGAAAUGUAUAUAGAGGAUAUGAGGGCUAACUGUGAAGAAAUAUUUAUCCCAUUU